rnacentral:rRNA from 1 species
CCUACGGGUGGCAGCAGUGGGGAAUAUUGGGCAAUGGGCGCAAGCCUGACCCAGCAACGCCGCGUGAAGGAAGAAGGCUUUCGGGUUGUAAACUUCUUUUGUCAGGGACGAAGCAAGUGACGGUACCUGACGAAUAAGCCACGGCUAACUACGUGCCAGCAGCCGCGGUAAUACGUAGGUGGCAAGCGUUAUCCGGAUUUAUUGGGUGUAAAGGGCGUGUAGGCGGGAAUGCAAGUCAGAUGUGAAAACUAUGGGCUCAACCCAUAGCCUGCAUUUGAAACUGUAUUUCUUGAGUGCUGGAGAGGCAAUCGGAAUUCCGUGUGUAGCGGUGAAAUGCGUAGAUAUACGGAGGAACACCAGUGGCGAAGGCGGAUUGCUGGACAUUAACUGACGCUGAGGCACGAAGGCCAGGGGAGCGAAAGGGAUUAGAUACCCCUGUAGUC